rnacentral:rRNA from 1 species
GACGAACGCUGGCGGCGUGCCUAAUACAUGCAAGUCGAGCGAAUUUCAUUGAGAGCUUGCUUUCAAUGGAGUUAGCGGCGGACGGGUGAGUAACACGUAGGUAACCUGCCUGCAAGACCGGGAUAACAUUCGGAAACGAAUGCUAAUACCGGAUACGCAAUUCUCUCGCAUGAGGGGAUUGGGAAAGGCGGAGCCAUCUGCCGCUUGUAGAUGGACCUGCGGCGCGUUAGCUAGUUGGUGGGGUAACGGCUCACCAAGGCGACGAUGCGGAGCCGACCUGAGAGGGUGAUCGGCCACACUGGGACUGAGACACGGCCCAGACUCCUACGGGAGGCAGCAGUAGGGAAUCUUCCGCAAUGGACGAAAGUCUGACGGAGCAACGCCGCGUGAGUGAUGAAGGUUUUCGGAUCGUAAAGCUCUGUUGCCAGGGAAGAACAGCCUGGAGAGUAACUGCUCCAGGUGUGACGGUACCUGAGAAGGAAGCCCCGGCUAACUACGUGCCAGCCGCCGCGGUAACAC